GCAGACUGGCGAGGAACGCGUGAGUAAUUUACCUCCAAAUCGAACAUAGCCUUACGAAAGUGAGAGUAAUAUUCGAUGUGUCUCGUUUUCCGCAAGGGAAACGGGGUAAAGGUGGCUCGCAAGAGCUAUUGUUUGGAGAUGAGCUCGCGUACUAUCAGCUAGUUGGUAGGGUAACGGCCUACCAAGGCUAUUGACGGUUAGCUGGCCUGAGAGGGUGGUCAGCCGCACGGGGACUGAGACACUGCCCCGACUCCUACGGGAGGCUGCAGUCGAGGAUAUUUAGCAAUGGGGGAAACCCUGACUAUGCGACGCCGCGUGAGGGAUGAAGGUUUUCGGAUCGUAAACCUCUUUCGAUGGGAAAGAACGUCCCAUACUCUAACAUAGUGUGGGAUUGACGGUACCUAGAGAAGAAGCCAUGGCCAACUCCGUGCCAGCAGCCGCGGUAAUACGGGGAUGGCGAGCGUUACUCGGAUUCAUUGGGUGUAAAGGGCAGGUAGGCGGUUAUGUAAGUUGGGGGUGAAAUCCUAAGGCUCAACCUUAGAACUGCCUUCAAUACUGCAUAGCUUGAGGCUAGAAGAGGAGAGCGGAAUUCCCGGUGUAAGGGUGAAAUCUGUAGAUAUCGGGAGGAACACCAGUGGCGAAAGCGGCUCUCUGGUCUGGAUCUGACGCUAAUCUGCGAAAGCUCGGGUAGCAAACAGGAUUAGAUACCCUGGUAGUCCGAGCCGUAAACGAUGAGCACUAGGUGUUGGUGGUAACCCUUUCAGCGCCGUAAGAUAACUCGUUAAGUGCUCCACCUGGGGACUACGACCGCAGGUUGA
rnacentral:rRNA from 1 species